rnacentral:rRNA from 1 species
UGGGGAAUAUUGCACAAUGGGCGAAAGCCUGAUGCAGCGACGCCGCGUGAGGGAUGACGGCCUUCGGGUUGUAAACCUCUUUCAGUAGGGAAGAAGCGAAAGUGACGGUACCUGCAGAAGAAGCGCCGGCUAACUACGUGCCAGCAGCCGCGGUAAUACGUAGGGCGCAAGCGUUAUCCGGAAUUAUUGGGCGUAAAGAGCUCGUAGGCGGUUUGUCGCGUCUGCCGUGAAAGUCCGGGGCUCAACUCCGGAUCUGCGGUGGGUACGGGCAGACUAGAGUGAUGUAGGGGAGACUGGAAUUCCUGGUGUAGCGGUGAAAUGCGCAGAUAUCAGGAGGAACACCGAUGGGCGAAGGCAGGUCUCUGGGCAUUAACUGACGCUGAGGAGCGAAAGCAUGGGGAGCGAACAGGAUUAGAUACCCUGGUAGUCCAUGCCGUAAACGUUGGGCACUAGGUGUGGGGGACAUUCCACGUUUUCCGCGCCGUAGCUAACGCU